UACAGGAGAUUCAGUUUCCUGUUUCCGGCCGGACUGACAGGAAGUGCACAUUGGGUGCUCACUUCCUUUCACUCCGGCCAGGAACAGGAAACUGAAUCUCCUGUU